rnacentral:rRNA from 1 species
CCUACGGGAGGCAGCAGUGAGGAAUAUUGGUCAAUGGGCGCAAGCCUGAACCAGCCAAGUCGCGUGAAGGAUGACUGCCCUACGGUUUGUAACCUUCUUUUAUAAAGGCAUAAAGUGAGGCACGUGUGCCUUUUUCUAUGUACUUUAUGCAUAAGGAUCGGCUAACUCCGUGCCAGCAGCCGCGGUAAUACGGAGGAUCCGAGCGUUAUCCUGAUUUAUGGGGUUUAAAGGGAGCGUAGGUGGGUGGUUAAGUCAGUUGUGAAAGUUUGCGGCUCAACCGUAAAAUUGCAAUUGAUACUGGCAGUCUUGAGUGCAGUUGAGGUAGGCGGAAUUCGUGGUGUAGCGGUGAAAUGCUUAGAUAUCACGAAGAACUCCGAUGGCGAAGGCAGCAUACUAAAAUGCCACUGACAUUGAUGCUCGAAAGUGUGGGUAUCAAACAGGAUUAGAUACCCGUGUAGUC